CGGACGAACGCUGGCGGCGUGCCUAACACAUGCAAGUCGAGCGGAGAUACAUUGAAGAUUUAUCGGAUAUGUAUCUUAGCGGCGGACGGGUGAGUAACGCGUGGGUAACCUGCCUUAUACAGGGGGAUAACACAGGGAAACUUGUGCUAAUACCGCAUAAUAUCAUUGUAUGGCAUCAUAUGGUGAUCAAAGGAGCAAUCCGGUAUAAGAUGGACCCGCGUCCAAUUAGCUAGUUGGUGGUGUAACGGACCACCAAGGCGACGAUUGGUAGCCGAACUGAGAGGUUGAUCGGCCACAUUGGGACUGAGACACGGCCCAGACUCCUACGGGAGGCAGCAGUGGGGAAUAUUGCACAAUGGGGGAAACCCUGAUGCAGCAACGCCGCGUGAAGGAUGAAGGUUUUCGGAUCGUAAACUUCUUUGAUGAGGGACGAAUAAUGACGGUACCUCAAGAACAAGCCACGGCUAACUACGUG
rnacentral:rRNA from 1 species